rnacentral:rRNA from 1 species
ACGGGUGAGUAACACGUAUCCAACCUGCCGUCUACUCUUGGACAGCCUUCUGAAAGGAAGAUUAAUACAAGAUGGCAUCAUGAGUCCGCAUGUUCGCAUGAUUAAAGGUAUUCCGGUAGACGAUGGGGAUGCGUUCCAUUAGAUAGUAGGCGGGGUAACGGCCCACCUAGUCUUCGAUGGAUAGGGGUUCUGAGAGGAAGGUCCCCCACAUUGGAACUGAGACACGGUCCAA